rnacentral:rRNA from 1 species
UACGUAGGGUGCAAGCGUUGUCCGGAAUUAUUGGGCGUAAAGAGCUCGUAGGCGGCUUGUCGCGUCGGCUGUGAAAACCCGGGGGCUCAACCCCCGGGCCUGCAGUCGAUACGGGCAGGCUAGAGUCCGGCAGGGGAGACGUGGAAUUCCUGGUGUAGCGGUGAAAUGCGCAGAUAUCAGGAGGAACACCGGUGGCGAAGGCGGGUCCUCUGGGCCGGAACUGACGCUAAGGGAGCGAAAGCGUGGGGAGCAAACAGG